rnacentral:piRNA from 1 species
UACUAAAAUCUCACAUUAUGGUUUCCUA